GCCUAACACAUGCAAGUCGAACGAGACCUUCGGGUCUAGUGGCGCACGGGUGCGUAACGCGUGGGAAUCUGCCCCUGGGUUCGGAAUAACACAGAGAAAUUUGUGCUAAUACCGGAUGAUGACGAAAGUCCAAAGAUUUAUCGCCCAGAGAGGAGCCCGCGUAGGAUUAGCUAGUUGGUGGGGUAAAGGCCUACCAAGGCGACGAUCCUUAGCUGGUCUGAGAGGAUGAUCAGCCACACUGGGACUGAGACACGGCCCAGACUCCUACGGGAGGCAGCAGUGGGGAAUAUUGGACAAUGGGCGAAAGCCUGAUCCAGCAAUGCCGCGUGAGUGAAGAAGGCCUUCGGGUUGUAAAGCUCUUUUACCCGGGAAGAUAAUGACUGUACCGGGAGAAUAAGCCCCGGCUAACUCCGUGCCAGCAGCCGCGGUAAUAC
rnacentral:rRNA from 1 species